GCCCCGGUAGUAUAGCCCGGUCAAGUAUGCCGGCCUCUCGAGCCGGAGACCCGGGUUCAAAUCCCGGCCGGGGCA
rnacentral:tRNA from 3 species